rnacentral:rRNA from 1 species
UGGGGAAUAUUGGACAAUGGGCGCAAGCCUGAUCCAGCCAUGCCGCGUGAGUGAUGAAGGCCUUAGGGUUGUAAAGCUCUUUUAGCGGGGAAGAUAAUGACGGUACCCGCAGAAAAAGCCCCGGCUAACUUCGUGCCAGCAGCCGCGGUAAUACGAAGGGGGCUAGCGUUGCUCGGAAUUACUGGGCGUAAAGCGCACGUAGGCGGACUCUUAAGUCGGUGGUGAAAUCCUGGAGCUCAACUCCAGAACUGCCUUCGAUACUGGGAGUCUUGAGUUCGGGAGAGGUGAGUGGAACUGCGAGUGUAGAGGUGAAAUUCGUAGAUAUUCGCAAGAACACCAGUGGUGAAGGCGGCUCACUGGCCCGAUACUGACGCUGAGGUGCGAAAGCGUGGGG